AGUGAACGCUGGCGGUAGGCCUAACACAUGCAAGUCGAACGGCAGCACAGGAGAGCUUGCUCUCUAGGUGGCGAGUGGCGGACGGGUGAGGAAUACAUCGGAAUCUGCCCAGUCGUGGGGGAUAACGUAGGGAAACUUACGCUAAUACCGCAUACGACCUUCGGGUGAAAGAGGGGGAUCGCAAGACCUCUCGCGAUUGGAUGAGCCGAUGUCGGAUUAGCUAGUUAGCGGGGUAAUGGCCCACCAAGGCGACGAUCCGUAGCUGGUCUGAGAGGAUGAUCAGCCACACUGGAACUGAGACACGGUCCAGACUCCUACGGGAGGCAGCAGUGGGGAAUAUUGGACAAUGGGCGCAAGCCUGUUCCAGCCAUACCGCGUGGGUGAAGAAGGCCUUCGGGUUGUAAAGCCCUUUUGUUGGGAAAGAAAUCUUUCAGGCUAAUACCCUGGGAGGAUGACGGUACCCAAAGAAUAAGCACCGGCUAACUUCGUG
rnacentral:rRNA from 1 species